UACAGAGGUCCCAAGCGUUGUUCGGAUUUAUUGGGCGUAAAGGGUGCGUAGGCGGUUGCCUAAGUCAGAUGUGAAAUCUCGGGGCUCAACCUCGAAACUGCAUUUGAUACUGGGUGACUUGAGUACUGGAGGGGAGACUGGAAUUUACGGUGUAGCAGUGAAAUGCGUAGAUAUCGUAAGGAAGACCAGUGGCGAAGGCGAGUCUCUGGACAGUUACUGACGCUGAGGCACGAAGGCUAGGGGAGCAAACGGG
rnacentral:rRNA from 1 species